AGCAGACGUUGGCGGCCGGGCUGCCAGGAGCAGUUCCGCCGGGUUUCACUGUCCGUGACUUCCUUCAGGGCACCUCAGGCAGCAAACCAAGAUGGAGUAUGAGUGGAAACCUGACGAGCAAGGGCUUCAGCAAAUCCUGCAGCUGUUGAAGGAGUCCCAGUCCCCAGACACCACCAUCCAGAGAACCGUGCAACAAAUUACACAGAGAAGUUUCCUUAACUACUGUUUGUUCUAGAAACUGGAACAACUUAAUCAAUAUCCAGACUUUAACAACUACUUGAUUUUUGUUCUUACAAAAUUAAAAUCUGAAGAUGAACCCACAAGAUCAUUGAGUGGUCUCAUCUUGAAGAAUAAUGUGAAAGCACACUUUCAGAACUUCCCAAAUGGUGUAACAGACUUUAUUAAAAGUGAAUGUUUAAAUAAUAUUGGUGACUCCUCUCCUCUGAUUAGAGCCACUGUUGGUAUUUUGAUCACAACUAUAGCCUCCAAGGGAGAAUUGCAGAAUUGGCCUGAUCUCUUACCAAAACUCUGUAGCCUGUUGGAUUCUGAAGAUUAUAAUACCUGUGAGG
rnacentral:sRNA from 1 species